rnacentral:tRNA from 1 species
UGUUCUGUAGCUUAGUUGGUUAGAGCGCCGGUCUUACGAAUACGGAGUCGUGGGAUCGAAUCCCUCCAAGAUGC